UACUUCCUGGAAAUAAAUCUCACUUAGUAGAUUUUUUAAAUAAAUCGAAUUGUGUGCAGAGACAAUGAUAACGCUUGUUAGAAUAAAAACUUUAUACUGAUGUGUCGUAUUAGGAAGAAACAAUGUGAAGCUAACAUUUGUUACUUCUAUUAAAGUACUUUUUCUUUACAUUUAUAAACCGUGUCAAUUUUUGAAAGAGGCAACCUCAGACCUUGAAACCAUUACCAGAGAAGCACGUGCCAAACGUUGAACAAACGGAAUUAACUUUGAAAACAUCACAAUUCAAAACUGAAACAUCUAAUACUUUGAUGGACUGAUAGCCAUAUUACAGAAACAUAUGUCCAAAUUUCUUAUAAAAAAGCUAGAACCAAGAAAACUAACCCUAUGCACAGACGAAUUUUUAACACCACACCAUCGACCGCUACUAGCGAUGCCUCUAGAGAGAGAGAAAAGAAUCAAACGCCAGAUGACAAAUCGGACAAAUCUGGCAUCGGUGCCUUUACAGUCGGGUUAUCAAAACCGAUCAAUUGCCUGUUGAAAGACAGGUCUAUACUUCUUCCACAUUCAUGACGAUGCUGGCAAAGGGAAAGAACUGAGUCCGUCUCUGGUUAAGAACAAACCGAAAGUUAUUUCGCUAUACAGCAGCACAAAUCAAGAGUUGUCUCUCGCUGCCAACUCGGCAGUGUUGCUGUUGGAGGCUGGUGAUGAGGUCUUUGUUGAAGCUUCCAACUGUGGUAGUCUGUAUGGAGAGGAGCAUCACGUGAUCAACACUUUCUCUGGUUUCCUGCUGAAGAAAGCGAUAUGAAAAUAUUGAGUCAUC